UACAGAGGUCUCAAGCGUUGUUCGGAUUCAUUGGGCGUAACGGGUGUGUAGGUGGCGCCGUAAGUCGGGUGUGAAAUUUCGGAGCUUAACUCCGAAACUGCAUUCGAUACUGCGGUGCUUGAGGACUGGAGAGGAGACUGGAAUUCAUGGUGUAGCAGUGAAAUGCGUAGAGAUCAUGAGGAAGACCAGUGGCGAAGGCGGGUCUCUGGACAGUUCCUGACACUGAGACACGAAGGCCAGGGGAGCAAACGGG
rnacentral:rRNA from 1 species